rnacentral:snRNA from 1 species
AGUGUUACUAAAUCAUCUCUCAU